rnacentral:rRNA from 1 species
AUGGAGGUAGAUAGUCGAUGUCCUAUAUGCUUUAGAUUUGAUGAAGUGGGGUGACAUUGCUUUUUUAUGUGCAAGAAAGUCAAGGAGGUGUGGAGGAGUUUAAACCUGGAGCAUGUUAGGUUGCAUCUGGCUGGCUGUACUAGUGCUUUAAGCACCCUAGAACAAAUUCUUAAUCUUGCAGAGGACGAUAAAAUAAAAACAUGUUUGCUUCUUUGGCGUUGGUGGCAUGUAUGCAAUAAGGCAAACUCGGGAGAAACCUCUUUCUCGCCUGAGGAUGUUUGCUCUUCUAUUGAGUAUCAUGUAUCAAAUGUAAUGAAGAUCAAAAAGACUACUAAAGGGCAUAAGCAGAAGCUGGACCAGAAAUGGUCUCGACCGCUAAAUGGUUUCCUCAAGAUUAAUACAGAUGCAUCCUUUCACAGGGACGCCAACUCCGGCGGCUGGGGAUUCAUCAUCAGAGAUGACCAAGGCAGGGCGAUGGCUGUAGGGGCGGGCAAUCUGGCGAAUAUCUCAGAUGCUCUACACGCUGAAGCUUUGGCUUUGUUAUAUGCUAUAAAAAUGUCUAUUCAGAUGGGAUGCGACAAGGUUUUGUUUGAAACUGAUUCCACGCAGCUGAUGAGGGCAGUGAAAUCUAAAGAUUAUGAUCUAGCGAAUUUAGGAGCUAUUUUUAGAAGCAUCAAAUCCCAACUGUAUGUGGGGUUUUCUGUUGGUAGUGUUGUGUCGUGCCCUCGGGCUUGUAACAUGGUAGCACAUAUUUUAGCUGCGUAUGGAGCAAAUCUGGGAGUUGAUGUGUGUGAGACCUGGCUGGGACAACUCCCAGAUUUUGUAUUGAACUAUGUAAAGGGCGAUUUACCUAGUACUAUAAUAUAG